CUUGCAUGCGUGAGACAUUGUUUAAAUAUGAAUUUACUAUUGUGUGUUUCUCUUUUAAAACAAGAAUUUCACAGGACAAUACCAACAGAUAAUGUGGAUUGGACUGACUGACAGAGAGACAGAGGGGGUAUGGAAAUGGGUGGAUGGCACUCUGCUGACAACAAGCUUCUGGAGAUCUGAGGAACCCAACAAUAAUGGCGGAAAUGAAGACUGUGUAGAAACAAAUGACAGUGAUCUCCGAAAAAUGUGGAAUGAUGCAUCAUGUGAAACAAAAAAAUUCUGGAUCUGCGAAAACAAAAUGGCUGUAUAACUCAGGGCAUAACCAAACCCUUAUGAUGUUGUCUCAUCAUAGAACAGAUUUAUAUUCCACUGUGAUUUUGAAAUUUUUUUGAGGGCAACGACAAAUGACAUCGUCCCGCAGAUGGGGGCAUCGGAUUAGAAAAUGCUUCGUUGUGUACAAACAACAUAUUUUGUCCUUUAAUUUCAGGGGCUGUUGUGCCUUUUAUUGUGACAUUUCUACAUAUAUUUUUAAUGUGUCUGUAUUUGUUUCUUUGAGUGCUAUUGUGUCCAGACAGACUCCAGGUAAAGAUCAUCAGGUGAUUGGGUUUUUGCUCAUGCUUGCUGUCUUUUAAGCCCCCUUGUUUUAUCUGGAGAUACAGAUGCAUUUUUAUUUCUUUGGGUCUAAAUUUUACUACUUUUAUGCUGGACUGUCUUGCUUUUGCAUUUCAUUUAUUUAUUUAAAGGUACUUUGCAUUUGAUGCUAGAUAAGUUCUGUGUAAAUAAAUGUAAAUGUAAAUAAA